UGGUAAGGUAAAAGCUUACCAAGGCGACGAUGGGUAGCCGACCUGAGAGGGUGAUCGGCCACACUGGGACUGAGACACGGCCCAGACUCCUACGGGAGGCAGCAGUGGGGAAUAUUGCGCAAUGGAGGGAACUCUGACGCAGCAACGCCGCGUGAGUGACGAAGGUUUUCGGAUCGUAAAGCUCUGUCAUUGGGGACGAAGAUGUGACGGUACCCAAUAAGGAAGCCCCGGCUAACUACGUGCCAGCAGCCGCGGUAAUACGUAGGGGGCGAGCGUUGUCCGGAAUUACUGGGCGUAAAGGGUGCGUAGGCGGCCUAAUAAGUCAGCUGUGAAAUACCGGGGCUUAACUCCGGGGGUGCGGUUGAAACUGUAAGGCUUGAGUGCAGGAGAGGAAAGUGGAAUUCCUAGUGUAGUGGUGAAAUGCGUAGAGAUUAGGAGGAACACCUGUGGCGAAGGCGGCUUUCUGGACUGUAACUGACGCUGAGGCACGAAAGCGUGGGUAGCGAACAGGAUUAGAUACCCUGGUAGUCCACGCUGUAAACGAUGGAUACUAGGUGUAGGGGGUAUCGACCCCUUCUGUGCCGUAGUUAA
rnacentral:rRNA from 1 species